AACAUUGGUGAAGUUGCUUGCAUUAAAACUGCGGAGAGUAUACAAUUGGAUGUUGACUCCGUUAUAGCUAAACUAAAACAGCCGAGUUGCAAGAAGGAUGUGGAUCCCGACUUUCCGGCAAGCCAAGCCUCCAAACCCAUUUUCCGAAAGUGUCGAUCCCUUAACUGAAUCGUGGAUGAUGCGGUAAUCGCAUCUUGGAUCAACGAACGAAGGUUUACCCUCGGAUAGAAUGUCUUUCGAAAACGCCAAGACGAGGCCGACAAACCGCCUUCAGGAUCGAGCUAGCGCACCGGCUGGUGAAUGGGUUGGCUUCCGGAAAUGUUCGCUGGCGAAAAUCGAUAGCCAGCCUAAAGGGUCAAACCAUAACCCUGCGAAGGGAAUUUGCUAUUGAUUGCUUGCUUCAUCAGCUGUGUCGGUUGUUUUACCAGGCGGUACCGAAUCGAGUUGCAAGAAGGAUGUGGAUCCCGACUUUCCGGCAAGCCAAGCCUCCAAACCCAUUUUCCGAAAGUGUCGAUCCCUUAACUGAAUCGUGGAUGAUGCGGUAAUCGCAUCUUGGAUCAACGAACGAAGGUUUACCCUCGGAUAGAAUGUCUUUCGAAAACGCCAAGACGAGGCCGACAAACCGCCUUCAGGAUCGAGCUAGCGCACCGGCUGGUGAAUGGGUUGGCUUCCGGAAAUGUUCGCUGGCGAAAAUCGAUAGCCAGCCUAAAGGGUCAAACCAUAACCCUGCGAAGGGAAUUUGCUAUUGAUUGCUUGCUUCAUCAGCUGUGUCGGUUGUUUUACCAGGCGGUACCGAAUCGAGUUGCAAGAAGGAUGUGGAUCCCGACUUUCCGGCAAGCCAAGCCUCCAAACCCAUUUUCCGAAAGUGUCGAUCCCUUAACUGAAUCGUGGAUGAUGCGGUAAUCGCAUCUUGGAUCAACGAACGAAGGUUUACCCUCGGAUAGAAUGUCUUUCGAAAACGCCAAGACGAGGCCGACAAACCGCCUUCAGGAUCGAGCUAGCGCACCGGCUGGUGAAUGGGUUGGCUUCCGGAAAUGUUCGCUGGCGAAAAUCGAUAGCCAGCCUAAAGGGUCAAACCAUAACCCUGCGAAGGGAAUUUGCUAUUGAUUGCUUGCUUCAUCAGCUGUGUCGGUUGUUUUACCAGGCGGUACCGAAUCGAGUUGCAAGAAGGAUGUGGAUCCCGACUUUCCGGCAAGCCAAGCCUCCAAACCCAUUUUCCGAAAGUGUCGAUCCCUUAACUGAAUCGUGGAUGAUGCGGUAAUCGCAUCUUGGAUCAACGAACGAAGGUUUACCCUCGGAUAGAAUGUCUUUCGAAAACGCCAAGACGAGGCCGACAAACCGCCUUCAGGAUCGAGCUAGCGCACCGGCUGGUGAAUGGGUUGGCUUCCGGAAAUGUUCGCUGGCGAAAAUCGAUAGCCAGCCUAAAGGGUCAAACCAUAACCCUGCGAAGGGAAUUUGCUAUUGAUUGCUUGCUUCAUCAGCUGUGUCGGUUGUUUUACCAGGCGGUACCGAAUCGAGUUGCAAGAAGGAUGUGGAUCCCGACUUUCCGGCAAGCCAAGCCUCCAAACCCAUUUUCCGAAAGUGUCGAUCCCUUAACUGAAUCGUGGAUGAUGCGGUAAUCGCAUCUUGGAUCAACGAACGAAGGUUUACCCUCGGAUAGAAUGUCUUUCGAAAACGCCAAGACGAGGCCGACAAACCGCCUUCAGGAUCGAGCUAGCGCACCGGCUGGUGAAUGGGUUGGCCUCCGGAAAUGUUCGCUGGCGAAAAUCGAUAGCCAGCCUAAAGGGUCAAACCAUAACCAUGCGAAGGGAAUUUGCUAUUGAUUGCUUGCUUUCAAGAUUGUUUCCAAGGAUGCCAUUGUUGAAACUCCUCCGACUGA